rnacentral:tRNA from 1 species
GGAGAGAUGGCUCAGUGGUUAAGAGCACUGGCUGCUCUUCCAGAGGCUCUGAGUUUAAUUCCCAGCAACCCCA